rnacentral:piRNA from 1 species
UGGAACUUCAUGAAAAGCUUGGCUCUUCUU